GCGCUCGCUUCGGCAGCACAUGUACUAAAAUUGGAACGAUACAGAGAAGGUUAGCAUGGCCUCUGUGCAAGGAUGAUACGCAGAUUCCUGAAGCGUUCCAUAUUUUU
rnacentral:snRNA from 1 species